rnacentral:rRNA from 1 species
CCGUGCCCAAGAGAUCGGGAUAACACCUGGAAACAGAUGCUAAUACCGGAUAACAACAGAUGAUGCCUAUCAACUGUUUAAAAGAUGGUUCUGCUAUCACUCUUGGAUGGACCUGCGGUGCAUUAGCUAGUUGGUAGGGUAACGGCCUGCCAAGGCGAUGAUGCAUAGCCGAGUUGAGAGACUGAUCGGCCACAUUGGGACUGAGACACGGCCCAAACUCCUACGGGAGGCAGCAGAC